GAGGCUGCGCUCCGCCCGGCCCGGGCCAAGCCCAAGGACGCCCGUGCCCCCCCCCCCCCCUCACCGCAAGCCUCUCCACACACCGGGCCGCACCGAAACCGAGGCCGGGGCGACGGCUUCUCGGCAGCGCGGGGCCUAGUCGCACCCCACGGGCCUCCAUCCUCCCGGGAGACGCGAGAAAUAAGGGCUGAGGCCCCAGAGUUGCGGGGUGGGGGAGGCGGCCGCAGCGACAGGACGCCCCGUCCGCCCGGCCCCAGGGCUGCCGCCAGGGCCCCCACAGGCGGCGGCAAGCAGGCGAGCCGGGACCGCGCCGCACCACACUCACCUCGAACAGCGGCCACCACCGCUUCAGCAUGGCCAGGAGGGUCGUCCCGGAGCCGAAAGCCUCCUCCGGAGGGCACCGGCGCGGCCCCAGGAGCCACCGCGAAGCCUCCCACUCCUGACGGGGCUGUGGUCGCCGCAGUUGCUGCUGCUGCUGCUGAGGCCCAGUGCCCGCCCAGGCGCAUCGGCUCCCGGGCCGCCGCACCCACGCAGACCCCGGCGGAGCGCCGCAGGGCCAGGCCAGGGGCGCAAGGCUGCGGCGGGACGACCGAGGUGCUGCAGGCGGGGAUCCUCGGCGAAGCCUCCGGCGUCGCGGUGGACGCUCCAGCCUUCCGCGCCGCUGGGCCACAGCGCCCCCUGGACCCCACGUCUGGCUACGGCGCCGGGACUGCGGCGGCCACGCCGGGCACGAGCGGCAGGGAACGCGAGGGAGCGCGGCCUGGGGGUGGCGGGGGCCCCGCGCUCCCUGCGCCGCCUGCGGCUCGCGGCCCGCCUCUCACCCCUGACGACGCUUCCUGGGAGCCGGAAGCCCCUCGGUUCCCACAAACCCCUGGCGGUCCCACCCCCCGUCAGACCCCGAGCACCCUUUCCUUCUCUGCGGAAGAGGCAUGCUCCUUUCUGUGUGCUCCCCAGUUCAUAACUGCUCACCACUGCAGUUAUGAGAGAGCUUCUUCAUUCUCCUUUGUUUAUUCAUUUAUCAAGUUAUUGAUAUCAUGCUGAUGAAAUUCCAGAUUUAAGGAACUAAAGCUGCAUAUGCUCGAAGACUCCAGCAAAGGUACUGUUUCAAACAUAAUUACGUGUAUGGUAGAAUGGGAAGACAUGCAAUGGUGUUGCUGUUUGAUCUCCAGUAUUGUUUUGCCAAAUUUGUGGUCUGUACAUGAGUGCAUUCCAAAUAGACUGCCACACACCCAAAACAACAUAGAAGCAUAGCACAGAUGAUGAGAAAAUUAAAUAUAGAAUGUGCUUCAAUGUACAUCAAACCACAGAAUUUCAAGAAGAGCAGCACCAUACAGAAAAUCAAUGUGGGGAAUGUAUUCAAGUAGUGCCAUGCCUGAAAGAAAGCAGGCCUUCAAAAGUUAAUUAUUGGGGCUGGUGGGGCUGGUGCUGUGGCAUAGCAGGUAAAGCCAUUGCCUGCAGUGCCGGCAUCCCAUAUGGGCACCAGUUCAAGUCCUGGCUGCUCCACUUCUGAUCCGGCUCUCUGCUACGACCUGGGAAAGCAGUAGAAAAUGGUCCAAGUCCUUGGGCCCCUGCACCUGUGUAGGAGAUCCAGAGAAAGCUCCUGGCUCCUGGCUUCAGAUCAGCUCAGCUCAGGCCGUUGCAGCCAACUGGCGGAGUGAACCAACAGAUGGAAAACCUCUCUCUUCUCUCUCUGCCUCUCCUUCUCUGUGUAACUCUUUCAAAUAAAUAAAUAAAUCUUUAAAAAAAAGUUAAUAAUCAUGAAAGUUGACCACCUCAUGUGGACUACCUGUGCAGUUGCCCAUAAUCUGUUAAGGUAUGUUUCCAUAUUUCCAAUUUUCUUUUUAUUUUUUUCCGUUAAACUCAGCAUUUUUUGUAAUUCACUAGUAUUGUUUUUCAUAUUCAUAUCAUUUCCAAUACUGGAGGUAUAAAUUGUGCAGACUUUUAGAGAGCUCUACUUUGUUUUAGGCAUUUUUGCAAAUUUGUGAAAGUGGAUUAUCAAACAUUGAUUCCUGUGAGAACAUUGUGUAUGUAGAAACAUCCUCAGUAAAUGAAGAGAUGCCCUUUUUGUGCAUCUGCAUUUGUGCAGGAAAAAAUAUCUCCAGAUUUUAGGUCUUUGGGCAACUGCAUAUACAUGGUGUUUUUUUUUUUUUAAUUAUCUGAGAGGGAUAAAGAUAGCUAGAUAAGCACAAGCACUCCACCCUAUCUCUGGUUCACUCUUCAACUCCCAGGAUGGCCAGGGGCUGGACUGUAGCUGAAGCCAAGAGCCCCAUGUCUCCAUGAGCAAGAAGUUGUAGAAGCUGAAAAUGGAGUGGAGCCUAGACACAGAGACUCCAAUAUGGGAUGUAGGUAUCCCAAGCUGUAUCUUAACUGCUACACCAAAUGUCUGCCUCUCAUCACAGCAUUUGAUCUAUUGUGUCAAAACACUUACAGAUAAUCUGUCACCAUAUUUCUGAUUACAGCAGUUAAAAAGCUGGGUAUGCACAAUUACCAAGCAUUGUGAUAUGAAUUUAUAAAUUUUAUUUUCACAUUUUUUUUAUUAGUGUGGUUCAUCUGUUCCUGUUAUACAUAUGUGAGUGUCAUUAGGCUAUGCUUUUAAGAUGAUUGCCUAUCAAUUUAUGACAAACCCACAGCCAGCAUCUUAUUGAGUGGGGAAAAGUUGGAAGCACUUCUGCUAAGACUCAGAAACAGACAAGGAUGCCCACUUUCACUAUUGCUAUUCAAUAUAGUCCUGGAAGUUUUAGCCAGAGCAAUUAAGCAAGAAAAAGACACUAAAGGGAUAUAAAUUAGAAAGGAGAAAGUCAAAUUAUCCCUGUUUACAAAUGACAUGAGUCUAUAGAUAGGGGAACAAAAAGACUCUACUAAGAGACUACUGGAACUCACAAAAGAGUUUGGUAAAGUGGCAGGAUAUAAAACUAACACACAAAAUUAAUAGCUUUUGUAUACACAAACAAUGCCAUGGCUGAGAAAGAACUUCUAAGACCAAUUACAUUCACAAUAGCUACAGAAAAAAGUAAAUACCUUGGAAUACAUUUAACUAAGAAGGUGAAAGAUCUCUACAAUGAAAAUUAUAAAACAUUAAAAAAAAAGAAGACAAAAAAAUGGAGAAAUAUUCUACAUUUGUGGAUUGGAAGAACUAAUAUCAUCAAAAUGUCUAUACUACCAAAAGCAAUUUACAGAUUCAAUGUGAUCCCAAUCAAAAUACAAACAACGGCCGGCGCCGCGGCUCACUAGGCUAAUCCUCCGCCUAGCGGUGCCGGCACACCGGGUUCUAGUCCCGGUCUGGGUGCCGGAUUCUGUCCCAGUUGCCCCUCUUCCAGGCCAGCCCUCUGCUGUGGCCAGGGAGUGCAGUGGAGGAUGGCCCAGGUGCUUGGGCCCUGCACCCCAUGGGAGACCAGGAAAAGCACCUGGCUCCUGGCUCCUGCCAUCGGAUCAGCGCGGUGCGCCGCCCGCAGCGCGCCGGCCGCGGCGGCCAUUGGAGGGUGAACCAACGGCAAAGGAAGACCUUUCUCUCUGUCUGUCUCUCUCACUGUCCACUCUGCCUGUCAAAAAAAAAAAAAAAAUACAAACAACAUUCUUCUCAGAUCUAGAAAAAACAAUGCUAAAAUUCAUAUGGAAACACAAGAGACCCCAAAUAGGUAAAGCAAUCUUAUAUGACAAAAACAAAGCCAGAGGGUCUGGCACUGUGGCAUAGUAGGUUAAGCCUCUGCCUGUAGUGUGAGCAUUCCAUAUGCGCACUGGUUCAAGUCCAGGCUGCUCUACUUCUGAUCCAACUCCUGCUAAUGACCUGGGAAAGCAGUGGAAGGUGGCCCAGGUGCUUGGGCCCCUGCAUCCAUGUGGGAAACCCAGAAGAAGCUCCUGGCUUUCGGCUUCAGAUCAGCCCAGGUCUGGCCAUUGCAGUCAUUCGAGGAAUGAACCAGCGGAUGGAAGAUCUGUCUCUCCUCUCUGUAACUUUGCCUCUCAAAUAAAUAAAUAUAUUUUUUUAAAAGUUGGAGACAUCACAAUACCAGAUUUCAAGACAUACUACAGGGCAGUUAUAAUCAAAAUAGCCUCAGACUUGCACAAAAAUAGACAUGUAGACCAACAGGAUAGAAUAGAAACUCUGGAAAUCAAUCCAUGCAUCUACAAAUAACUAAUCUUUGCCAAAAAGAAAAAAAAAGUUAAAAUCAACCCCUGGAUAAAGGACAGUCUCUUCAACAAAUGGUGCUGGGAAAAUUGGAUCUCCACAUGCAGAACCAUGAAAAAGACUCCUACCUUAUACAAAAAUAAACUCAAAAUGGAUCAAGGAUCUAAAUCUAGGACCUGAUACCAUCAAAUUACUAGAAGAAAACACUGGGGUGGGGGAAACUCUGCAAGAUGUUGGCAUAGGCAGACAUUUUGGGAAAGACCCCAGAAGCUCAGGCAAAGCCCAAAUUGAUAAAUGGGAUUACAUCAAGCUGAGAAGCUUCUGCACUGCAAAAGAAACACUCAGCAAAGAGGCAAUUGACAGAAUGGGAGAAAAUAUUUGCAAGCUAUGAAACUAAUAAAGGAUUAAUAUCCAGAAGCUAUAAAGAGCUCAAGAAACUCAGCAACAACAAAACAGUCCUGUUAAGAAAUGGCCAAAGGACUUGAACAGGUAUUUUUCAAAAGAGGAAAUUCAAAUGGCCAACAGACAUGAAAAAAUGCUCAAGAUCACCAGCCAUCAGGGAAAUGCAAAUGAAAACCACAAUGAGAUUUCACCUCACCCCAGUCAGAAUAGCUGUCAUACAGAAAUCAACAAGCAGUUAAGUGCUGACAAGGAUGUGGGGGAAAAGGUACCUUAAUCCCCUGUUGACAGGACUGUAAACUAGUACAGCCACUGUGGAAGACAGAAUGGAGAUACCUCAGCAAGCUGAAAAUAGAUACACUAUAUGACCCAGCCAUCCCACUUCUGGGAAUUUACCCAAAGAAAAUAAAAUCAGCAUUGAGUUAUCUGUACCCCAAUGUUUACUGCAGCACAAUUCACAAUAGCUAAAACAUGUAAUCAACUCACAUGUCCACCAACUGAUGAUUGGAUGAAGAAAUUAUGGUAUAAAUAAACUAUGGAAUACUUCUCAGCCAAAAAAUAGAAUGGAAUCCUGUCUAUUGCAACCAAAUGGAUGCAACUGGGAUUCACUAUAUUUAGUGAAAUAAGUCAGUCCCAAAAAGACAAAUAGAUGGGUGGUAACUAACAAAGUACCAAAAAUGUAACAAAUAGGAGUCAAACUGACAUUUUGAGACUGAAUGAUUGUUUACAGCUCUUGUCUCUACUGUUGAGGAACUGUGCUUUUUUUUUUUUCUAUUUCUUGAACUCUACUUGGUAUAGGGUUAAUCUGAGUAUAAAGUAAACUGAAAAUAGCUUAUUGUAAAAACUGAGAGACUAGGAGAGGAAAGAGGAGGAAGGGUGGGAGCAUGGAUAGGAGAGUGGGAAGUUUAUGCUCCUAAAUUUGUAUACAUGAAAUUUGUAUACUUAAAAACACACACUUAAAAAAUUAUCUGAGAGUUCCACUCCUACUAGUUAUUUAGUGGAGAUAAAAUGUCUUCACACACACAAAUUAUUGCCUGUAUAUAAAGUGGCCUAUUAAGUAUCUUGGGCUUUUGUUUCUCAAAUAAAUCCUGCAUUAAAAAAAUGUUUUUAAGUAAUUUUUAGUUUUCCAGAUUUGUAUUUUUGGAAUUUUGAUCUUUAGGGAUUUUAGAUUUUAGAGAUUUUUAUCUUGAGGGAUCCCAGCAUUCAGAAUUAUGGCCCAAACCCUUGUAAACACACACUACAUUGGUUCUUUUGUCUGUUUUGAGUAAUGCUGCUACGAACAUUGGUGUUGUUUUAUAACCAGAGCUGGAACUGCAGGAUCAUGUGACAGUUUUAAAUUUUGUGAGGAGCCACUAUACUGUCUUCCACAGUAGUUGAAUCAUUUUACAUUGCACAAGGGUUCCAAUUCCUCUACAUCCUCACCAGUACUUAUUUUUUGCUCUCUCCAUCCUAUUAGAUUUGAAGUGCUGGCUGACUGUGGCUUUGACUUAGACUUCCCUAAUGAUUAGUGAUAUUAAGCAUCUUUCCAUGUGCUUACUGUGUAUUUUCAUCUUUGUAGAAAUGUCAAGUCCAUUUUUACACUGGGCCUUUUUAUUUGUUCUUUUUAUUCUGAAUAUUAAUCUCUUACCAAACAUUUGAUUUACUUUUUCUCCUACUCUGUGGGUUGCUUUUUCUCUUGAGAGUGUCCUCUAAUGUCCAAAUUUUAAAUUUGGAUGUAAUCUUGUUUUUGUUAUUGUUGCCUAUGCUUUUGGAAUCACCUAAGCAAUCAUUGCCAAAUUCAAUGUCACAAAGAUUCCUCCACUUGUAAGCUCUUAUGUUUAGAUUUUUGACUCAUUCUAAUUUUUGUAUACAAGGAAUCAGGUCUGUGGAAAUGGAGUUUAAAAUAUUUUGGUACAAAAAAAUGAAAUUUACAGUUUUUUCAUAAUACCCAUUUUCUGUGAACUUUUACAGGACCCUGCAUAUGGUGUAAGUGUCCAACUUCAUUAUUUUGCAUGUGGAUGUCCUUUCUCCACUGUAUAGCCUUGGCACUCUCCUUGAAAAUCAUUUGAUAAUACCUGUGAGGGUUUACCUCUGGGCUAUUCUAUUCGUCUAUAUAUAUCAAUAUGUCAGGACCACAACUAUUUGAUUGUCAUUGUUAGUUCUGAAAUUAAGAAAUGUGACCUUUCCAACUUUGUUCUUUUUAAACUUUUUUUUUUCUUAAAGAUUUAUUCAUUUGAAAGGCUGAGUUUCAGAGACAGAUCUUCCAUUCGCUAGUUCACUUCCCAAAUGACCACAAUGGCCGGGGUGGGCCAGAACAAAGCCAGGAUUCUGGAGCUUGUUUCCAUCUCCCAUAUGGGUGCAAGGGCCCAAGCAUUUGGGCUAUCUUCCGUUGCUUUCCCCAGGCAUAUGAGCAGGGAGCUAGAUGGGAAGUGGAGUAACCGAGACUCAAAGCAGUGCUCAUAUGGGAUUUGGGUGUCACAAAUGAAAGCUUUACCCCUAUGACACAAUGCUGGUCCCGCUUUUUAAACUAUUUUGGUUAUUCUGGGCCCCUUGAGAACUUGUAUGAAUUUUUGAAGGGUUUUCCUAUUUCUUCAAGAAACAUCACUGGAACUUUUACAGGGAUUGCAUUCAAUCUGUAAAUCACCUUUGAUAGUAUUGAUUUAACAGUAUUGUCUUCCAAUGAAGCAUGGCUUUCCAAUUAUGUGCUUAAUUUCUAUCAUUUUGUAGUUUUCAGCAUGUCUUCUGCAUCCUUAGUUAAGUUUCUGUUUAUUAUUUUUUUCAUGUUGUGUCUUACAGAAUUUUUUACUUAAUUUCCUUUUUGUAUUACUGUUACUCUACAGAAAUGCAACUGAUUUUGAGAGAACCUUCUAUCUUGAGACAGAGGGAAAGAGAAACACAGAUUUUUUUUACAUUUGCUAGAUCACUUCCCAAACCCUCACAACAGCUGGGGCUGGGCCAGGUCAGAGGUAGGAUCUUGGAACUCCAUCUGGGUAAAGGGACCCAAACACUUGAGCCAUCACCAGCUGCCUCCCAGUGAGGGCAUUAGCAGAACUGGGAGUGGAGCCAGGACUCAAACCCAGGCACUCUAAUAUGGGACACAGUCAUCCCAAGCAGUAUCUUAACCAGUGCACCAAACACAGAGCCCAGUGCAAUAUUUUUGCAAACUGAUUUUAUAACUGACUUGGCUGAACUCAUUUAUUAGUUAUGCCAACAGGCUUGCCUUUUUUUUUUUUUUAAAUAGAACUGUUUGAUUUUUUUAACACAAAAAACAUGGCUGCAUGAUAAAUUCAUUACCUCCUUGUUCAAGUUUAUAGAAUACUUUUGAGGAGUUAUGCCUAAAAGGAGGCAAAAUUUUAAUACCACUGUUAACAUCAACAUAUGUAAUCCAAGAAUGCCUGCCCAAAUACUGCUGUCCGAGGUAUGCAAACUUUCUAAAUUUAUAAAGCCACCUUAAAAAUUGAGACAGAGACAGCAAGCACAUUCCCAUCUUCUGGUCCCAUUCCCCAAAUAUUGACAAUGGCUAGGGCAGGGCCAAGCAAGAGCUUGGAAUUCAGUCCAGGUCUCCAGUGUGGGUGGUAGGAACAGAACUACUUAAGCUAUCAUUGCUCCUUUCAUGGUCCACAUUAGAGAAACCUGGGAUCAGGAGAUGGAGCUGAGAAUCAAACUCAGAGUGUAACAUGAGACAUGUGUGUCCUAACUAGUUUAUAACCACUAGGCAAAAUGCCUGUACCCUCUCCCUCCAACUUCUGAAUAUAUUCAAAUUGCAAACCCUACUUCUUAAAAAAAAAAAAAAAAAUCCCUACUUACAUUCCAAACAAUCCUUAAAACAAGUCCAUCAGGUUUGUAUUGAGUGUAUUCAUAGGGAUAUCUAAUCAAAGAGGGUAUGUGCACCUAAUUUUCAACUCAAUAAAUAUUUGUUGAGUGGUAUGGAGUGAUUUUUAAUUGACCUCUGAAAUUUGGUAAUUCUAGAUUAGAAUCAUGAUUUUCCCACUAAUUAGUUAUUUGGCUUUUGGCAACUUCCCUAAACCAUUUUUGUUCUUUAAAACUGGGAUUAUAAUGGCCUCACUAGGUUGUUUUGAAAAUUAAAUUAACUGUAUGCAGCAGUAAAUAGUAAGUGUUAUUAUGGUCUUGAAUACACUACAUGUUGGGCACUCUGCUAGAAGGUAGAGAUAAAAGAUAUCUGAUAGAAUAUUGCCAUCAAAGCACUUAUAGUGUAGAUGGGAAACUAUAAAGAAAAUCAGAGAAUCUUAGUACUGCACGCAACAGAAUGUUAUGUUGGAAAUAAUAAGACUAUGAUGUGCUCACAUUUGAAACUUAGGUAGUCUGGCUUCUGUGUAGAGGAUUAGAAGGAAUGAAUCCUAAGACUAAUAAGGAAGCUAAAAGGCUCAACGUGGCCUUGUUGUGUCUGGUGCCAUGAGAUCCAGAAAGUAACUUUCAGUCAUGGCUUGGAAGAUAAAUACACUUCAACCAUCUUUCAUUUUCACCUCAAUCAUUUAGGGGAUUGUAAGGAACUCUGACUCUGUGGCAUCAUUUUACAAAGGAAACAGGCUCAAAGAGCAAGGUCAUCACUGCACUUUUAACACAGGCACUACUCACUUUGUGGUAUAGAAGAUGGUAUUCUCUGGAACACAGCAAAUAUGAAUGAUUGCUCCUGGAGCUGUGGAUUAUAGCAGCCCUAUUGGAGAGGUUAUAUAAACAGUAUGAUAGGUAGUGGAAAAGAUCUCCAACUAAAAACCUGUGCUUUUUCCCACUAUACCAUACUGUCUCUUAUAAUCAUACUUUAUGAGUAUGUAGAUACUUAGGAUUAAACACUGAAUUUGAACAAGAAACAAACCAAACACAUCCCAGAAAUGGGUUUUCCACAAGAACUUGGUAGGCUUAUUAAAAUGAAUUUAAUAGAAUCCUAUAAGCACUAGUUAUUUAACAACAAAUUAAGGUGCUUGAUAUAUUUUUAAACUGCUACUAAAAUAGCAUAAAACAAAUAUAAGCGGCUGGCGCUGCAGCUCACUAGGCUAAUCCUCCACCUUGCGGCGCUGGCACACCAGGUUCUAGUCCCGGUUGCCCCUCUUCCAGUCCAGCUCUCUGCUGUGGCCAGGGAGUGCAGUGGAGGAUGGCACA